GAGGUUAUGCGGGCCGUGGAGUAUGAGUCUGCUCACUCGGCUGCUGUGACGAAGCGUGAGCCUUCUUCCACAGGCAAACGGCGGCGUGAAGCCCAAGUGCACAACCUCUCGGAGAGGAGGAGGAGGGACAGGAUCAACGAGAAGAUGAGGGCUCUGCAAGAACUCAUUCCCCACUGCAACAAAGGGUUUGAUCUUGGGCAAGUUUGGCAUUGGCUGGAGAUGUGUUUUCUUUCUGCACUGACACAUGUUCUUUAAGGUUAUUUUCAGAGUUGUUGUCAGUAACCUAUCUGCUCGAUAUGCGAGCGGGAGUGCUCUAUCUGCUCUUCGAUGGUGAUUGGUGCGGAGGAGAUCGUCAUCCGCAUUAUCUGCGACCAUGCGGACGUCUUCCAUGUCCUCAGCGACCACGCCACAGUCGCCGCCGUGCUCCAUCAGAGGGAGAGCAACAUAGCCAAUCAUCGACCCUUAUAGGCUCCUCCAUUGUUCAUGGAGCUUUGGAGGCAAUCAUUGUCAGAUGGUGGAGGAGCGACGUGCUGGGGGCACAUAAGCUGCUGGGGCAGUGGGUCAUGGCGAUGUGCUGGAGGCAGAGGAGCUGCUGCGGCAGAGAACAACGGCGAGCUGUUGAGGCGGAGGAGUCCCGUCAGAUGCUAGAGAGGACGAGCACGGGGAGGUGCUGGGGCGAACGAGCACGAGGUCAUUGGAGCGGAGGAGUCUCGUCAGGUGCUGGAGCGGAGGAGCCC